GGGGAAUUUUGGACAAUGGGCGCAAGCCUGAUCCAGCCAUGCCGCGUGUCUGAAGAAGGCCUUCGGGUUGUAAAGGACUUUUGUCAGGGAAGAAAAGGCUGUUGCUAAUAUCAAUAGCUGAUGACGGUACCUGAAGAAUAAGCACCGGCUAACUACGUGCCAGCAGCCGCGGUAAUACGUAGGGUGCGAGCGUUAAUCGGAAUUACUGGGCGUAAAGCGAGCGCAGACGGUUACUUAAGCAGGAUGUGAAAUCCCCGGGCUCAACCUGGGAACUGCGUUCUGAACUGAGUGACUAGAGUGUGUCAGAGGGAGGUAGAAUUCCACGUGUAGCAGUGAAAUGCGUAGAGAUGUGGAGGAAUACCGAUGGCGAAGGCAGCCUCCUGGGAUAACACUGACGUUCAUGCUCGAAAGCGUGGGUAGCAAACAGGAUUAGAUGCCCUGGUAGUCCACGCCCUAAACGAUGUCAAUUAGCUGUUGGGCAACUUGAUUGCUUAGUAGCGUAGCUAACGCGUGAAAUUGACCGCCUGGGGAGUACGGUCGCAAGAUUA
rnacentral:rRNA from 1 species